GAUGAACGCUGGCGGUGUGCCUAAUACAUGCAAGUCGAGCGAACAGACGAGGAGCUUACUCCUCUGACGUUAGCGGCGGACGGGUGAGUAACACGUGGAUAACCUACCUAUAAGACUGGGAUAACUUCGGGAAACCGGAGCUAAUACCGGAUAACAUGUUGAACCGCAUGGUUCAACAGUGAAAGACGGUCUUGCUGUCACUUAUAGAUGGAUCCGCGUCGCAUUAGCUAGUUGGUAAGGUAACGGCUUACCAAGGCAACGAUGCGUAGCUGACCUGAGAGGGUGAUCGGCCACACUGGAACUGAGACACGGUCCAGACUCCUACGGGGGGCAGCAGUAGGGAAUCUUCCGCAAUGGGCGAAAGCCUGACGGAGCAACGCCGCGUGAGUGAAGAAGGUCUUCGGAUCGUAAAACUCUGUUAUUAGGGAAGAACAAAUGUGUAAGUAACUAUGCACGUCUUGACGGUACCUAAUCAGAAAGCCACGGCUAACUACAUG
rnacentral:rRNA from 1 species